UCAUUAGCCAGGUCAGCAGUUUUAUUAACUAGGAGGUUAGCGGAGUCAUUAACCAGGAGGUUAGUGGAGUCAUUAACCAGGUCAGCAGUGUUAUUAACCAGGAGGUUAGCGGAGUCAUUAACCAGGUCAGCAGUGUUAUUAACCAGGAGGUUAGCGGAGUCAUUAGCCAGGAGGUUAGCGGAGUCAUUAACCAGGAGGUUAGCGGCGUCAUUAACCAGGUCAGCAGUGUUAUUAACCAGGAGAUUAGUGGAGUCAUUAACCAGGAGGUUAGUGGAGUCAUUAACCAGGUCAGCAGUGUUAUAAACUCGGAGGUUAGCGGAGUCAUUAACCAGGAGGUUAGUGGAGUCAUUAACCAGGAGAUUAGUGGAGUCAUUAACCAGGAGGUUAGUGGAGUCAUUAACCAGGUCAGCAGUGUUAUAAACUCGGAGGUUAGCGGCGUCAUUAACCAGGUCAGCAGUGUUAUUAACCAGGAGGUAAGCGGAGUCAUUAACCAGGAGGUUAGCGGAGUCAUUAACCAGGUCAGCAGUGUUAUUAACCAGGAGGUUAGCGGAGUCAUUAACCAGGUCAGCAGUUUUAUUAACCAGGAGGUUAGCAGAGUCAUUAACCAGGUCAGCAGUGUUCUUAACCAGAUCAGCAGUGUUCUUAACCAGGUCAGCAGUGUUAUUAACCAGAUCAGCAGUGUUAUUAACCAGAUCAAGAGUGUUCUUAACCAGGUCAGCAGUGUUAUUAACCAGAUCAACAGUGUUAUUAACCAGGUCAACAGUGUUCUUAACCAGAUCAACAGUGUUAUUAACCAGGUCAACAGUGUUAUUUACCAGAUCAGCAGUGUUAUUAACCAGAUCAACAGUGUU